GAUGAACGCUGGCGGCGUGCCUAAUACAUGCAAGUCGAGCGAACAGACGAGGAGCUUGCUCCUCUGACGUUAGCGGCGGACGUGUGAGUAACACGUGGAUAACCUACCUAUAAGACUGGUAUAACUUCGGGAAACCGGAGCUAAUACCGGAUAAUAUCUUGAACCGCAUGGUUCAAUAGUGAAAGACGGUUUUGCUGUCACUUAUAGAUGGAUCCGCGCCGCAUUAGCUAGUUGGUAAGGUAACGGCUUACCAAGGCAACGAUGCGUAGCCGACCUGAGAGGGUGAUCGGCCACACUGGAAGUGAGACACGGUCCAGACGCCUACGGGAGGCAGCAGUAGGGAAUCUUCGGCAAUGGGCGGAAGCCUGACGGAGCAACGCGGCGUGAGUGAUGAAGGUCUUCGGAUCGGAAAACUCUGUUAUGGGGGAAGAACAAAUGUGUAAGUAACUAUGCACGUCUUGACGGUACCUAAUCAGAAAGCCACGGCUAACUACGUG
rnacentral:rRNA from 1 species